UGCAACGGCGGUAGCUGCCACGACCCACAUUCCUCGCCUUUUACUAGGAAUGUCCGGGCGGCUGCCGCACUUCAACGUUGUCGAUUACAAUCUUUGUGCUAUCGGGUCCUCUGGGC
rnacentral:snRNA from 1 species